GCUGCUAAACCUCUUACAACGGAGGCAAUUGCUCUUACAGAGAAGAAAAUGGACAUGGCAUUAGAAGACAUUAUCAAAAUGUCUAAAAAACACCAAAACUAAGGCUAAGAAGCCACGAAGGGUUCCAAACAAGAGUCAGAGAUCUUCAAAUACUCUUGCUCAGGAUAAAUAUAUGAAGGUGAAACGUUUUAUGGACACAAGAUCCUCCCUUAGACAGGGGGUCUUGGCACAGAGAAGGUCGAAUUUCCAGGGGAGCCAUUUUCCUCUGGCAAUUGAGGUUGCACGGAAGGCUGCAGCUGCUACGCUUCGUAAUAGAAAUUUCAGUCGUAACAGGGUGGCUAAUUGGAACAAAUCAAGGUAAUUGGGUAAAUCCUGAUUCUUCUGUAGUAUUGAUCAGCUUCCCAUUCAUGUUUACCAAAUCAAAUAGUGUCAUGGAAGUCCUGCAUAUGAUUUGUUUCAGUGUGAAUCAGCCAAUUUGGGAAUAUUUUCAACUGCUGAUGGUUUCUGUCAUGCCAGCCUUUAUAGCUGGCUUGCAUCAUAACCUUUGUUUAUGUGGUGUGCAAAGGAAGUUGUAGUUGAGUAGUGCAUGUCUAAUUUGAUUAUGGAUAUGCUUGUUCGAAAAUCGGAGGUUUGUUAUUUGGAUUGGCUGUUGAAGCAGUGGAUUAUAAGUGAUAAAAAGGGACAUGACUGGAUGAAGAUGGGUUGAUGAAAAUGUGAAAUCAAGUGUGAUAUGGAAGUUCACACAACUGUAUUAUGCGAAGAAAGCUAUCACGUUUGCACUGACAAGUUAACAUUCUGCAUUUUAAGUGGCUCAUUGCUUUAAAAAAUUUACAUGAUUUGUGGCGUUGUGGAUGUUUUCUAGUAAUUGAAUUCAAUGCAGCAGUCUCUAUCUUUCUAUAGCCUAUCCGAAGCUUUCAGUCAUCUCGUCACAUGUAUUGGUAUUCUUCCAUAUGAUCCAUGGCAAGACCUGCUGCUUUUCCUUGAUCUGUCAGAUUGUUCAUUCUUGAGGUGUGAUAGGUUGUGCUGGUCCAUACAAUUUGCUCUGGUCCUCCAUCCCUGAAGCAUUGUUGGCCUUCAUACACUGAUAAUUUUUCUUGGAAGAUACUGCUGUGGGGAAAUUGACACCCUUCAGUCUUAAGGCCUCUUAAUCCGGAGAUUUCUGCAUUUUGGAACUUGUCUGGAUUUUCUAGUCCAUGGGACUGACACCUCAUCUCUGCUUUUCUUGUUCUUUCUUGCUAGCUACCUGGGUGAUUGGGUUGUCAUCUGUUUUAUCCCAUGGGAUGCAACUAAAAUGGAUAUUUAUGGGUCAACUAAACACAAGUCACGUGUUUCAGGUUUUUGUAGAGUGAAUUUCCCGCUUGGGAUAUUGGAAGUUUGGAUAGCUGAAUGUCAAGGAGUAGAGUUGUGCUCAUGUUAUUUAUUUUCAAAUUCUUUAGUGGUUGGCAGCUGUGUUGGCAAUGUAGUUUUGUUUUAUCCUAGUUUUACUAGGUGUAGAAAUUGGAUACUCAUUGUUCGGCAAUAGUUACCGUGAGUGAUGCAAUCAAAGAGUUUUCAAGAUAUCAGAUUUGGAAGUCCCUCAGCAGAGUCUUCUAUUUAUUGAACUAAAUGCUGAACGAGCCACUGUGGUUUUUCAAGUCCUGCUCCCUUGUGAUUGUUUUACUUUUCCUCUCCGCUUGACCAUUGUGUGAGGUCUGAACUCUAGAUCGGGCCCUUAUUGGUAAGGGCUGUUGUAUAGAAGAAUCGGUACUGCAGGUGUCACUUUCUUGAAGCGACUACUUUUUUCUGAAAUGGUUUGUAUUAGCAUUAUGUUAGUUGGCUAUAAGACAUGAUGGUAAGUCACUAGACUCAAUUGAGUGAGCAUAAAUCUGAGGGUGGUGGUAUAAUUAUUAAUCAUCCGUAUUUGGUACAGUGCGUUCUGAAUUCUACCUCGUUGGUCUUGCCUCAUGAUGAUAUGUUCUGUUUAAGCUAUCCAAUCAUUAUUUCUAUCUCUCGGUGCAGGGGUGGUGCUCCAGUGGUCCCGAGGAGGGCUCCAAAUGGAGGAUCUUCUGCUAAGUCACAGCUCAUGCAGCCGCAGGAGGCAAAUGCAGUACCGAAGCAGAGGUCUACGCUGGACUCACUGUUUGCAAACAUGAAGGAGCAAAGAAUGAAGAUCAUGUCACAGCAGAACAAUGUUGCACAACGUAACGGUGGUGCCCUGCGAAGACCCCCAUGGGCAAGAGGCCAAGGGAGCAACUAAUUCAAAUUACUUUGACAGCUGGAACGGAUAUCUUACUGUGUAAAGACAAGUCAUGGUGGUCAUGUAUACUGGGUCUGCCUGCACAUCCAGUUGAUCCGAGUUGGAAUACCGAGAGUGCCCAAGUGCAGAAUCUAGGGCCGUCCUCUUUUUCAAUUUCUUGUACUACCAUUUCCUUUAACAUCUUGACGAUGGGUGAUUUGUAAUUCCUUUUAGGCUUGCCUUGCACUGUCAAUGUAUAGCACCUUUUUACGGAAUGUGGAUCCUUUGCUUGAUUUCA